rnacentral:rRNA from 1 species
ACAAGCGGUGGAGCAUGUGGUUUAAUUCGACGCAACGCGAAGAACCUUACCUGGGCUUGACAUCCCGAUCGUACGAUAUGGAAACAUAUUGGUCAGUUCGGCUGGAUCGGAGACAGGUGCUGCAUGGCCGUCGUCAGCUCGUGUCGUGAGAUGUUGGGUUAAGUCCCGCAACGAGCGCAACCCUUGCCUUUAGUUGCCAGCAGUUCGGCUGGGCACUCUAAAGGGACUGCCGGUGUUAAACCGGAGGAAGUGGGGAUGACGUCAAGUCCUCAUGGCCUUUAUGACCAGGGCUACACACGUACUACAAUGGCCGAUACAAAGGGCAGCGACACUGCGAGGUGAAGCCAAUCCCGUAAAAUCGGUCUCAGUCCGGAUUGGAGUCUGCAACUCGACUCCAUGAAGUUGGAAUCGCUAGUAAUCGUGGAUCAGCAUGCCACGGUGAAUACGUUCCCGGGCCUU